rnacentral:rRNA from 1 species
UACGAGGGGGGCGAGCGUUGUUCGGAAUUAUUGGGCGUAAAGGGCGCGUAGGCGGUCGGAUAAGUCUUGUGUGAAAUCUUCGGGCUCAACUCGAAGUCUGCACAUGAAACUAUCUGGCUUGAGUGUGGGAGAGGUGAGUGGAAUUCCUGGUGUAGCGGUGAAAUGCGUAGAUAUCAGGAGGAACACCUGUGGCGAAAGCGGCUCACUGGACCACAACUGACGCUGAGGCGCGAAAGCUAGGGGAGCAAACAGG